CUUUUUCUCCUGGUAUUACAGGGUUGGUCGGAACUAGCAGCUUCUCACUCAAUAGUUGAGUUUCUUCCAGGUUUUCAGGGGCCACUUCCCUUUGAAUUUGAAACUGGAUAUAUUGGUGUGGAUGAAUCAGAAGACGUGCAGCUCUUCUACUACUUCGUUAAGUCACAGGGGAAUGCAAAGGAGGAUCCUCUCGUGCUUUGGCUAACUGGUGGCCCUGGCUGUUCUGCCCUUUCUGGUCUUAUUUAUGAAAUUGGUCCAAUAUAUUUUGAGGUAGUGGAGUACAAUGGGAGCUUACCUACAUUGGUCUUGAAUCCACACUCAUGGACAAAGGUGGCCAGCAUAAUAUUUGUAGAUUCGCCUGUUGGCACUGGAUUCUCUUAUGCAAGAACCCCACUUGCUUCUCUCACAGGGGACUUCAUACAAAUUAAGCAAGCUGACGAAUUUCUUAGAAAGUGGCUGACAGAUCAUCCGGAAUUCCUCUCAAAUCCAGUUUAUGUCGGUGGGGAUUCCUACUCUGGCCUUCCUCUUCCAGCCUUAGUUCAGCUAAUUUCAGAUGGGAAUGAAGAUGGUAGCAAACCACUGAUAAAUCUCAAGGGAUACAUACUUGGGAAUGCUGCCACAGAUUUCACUUUUGAUGGCAACUCUAAGGUCCCAUUUGCUCACGGCAUGGGACUUAUUUCUGACGAACUCUAUGAGUCAUUGAAGAGAAAUUGUAGGGGAGAAUACACGUUUGUAGACCCCAGCAAUGCAGAUUGUUUGCAGCAUAUGCAGGAAUUUUAUAAGUGUACUUCAGGACUUGAUGCUGCACAAAUCUUGGAGCCCCUUUGUGCUUUUGUCUCCCCAAAGCCAUUGGAGAUAUCAUUUCAUAAAAGAAGAUCUCUCAUUCUCAAUGACAACUCCGGAGAUUUGGUUGAUCCUGAUCCAUCACUUCCUACAAUUGGCUGUCGGACUUACGCAUAUCUGCUUUCCAAAUAUUGGGUCAAUGACAAAAGUGUCCAAAAAGCACUUGGCAUACGAGAGGGAACCAUAGGGCAAUGGGAACGAUGCACUAAUGGAUUAUCUUAUACCCAUGAAAUUUUCAGCACUAUUAAGUAUCAUUUAUAUCUGGGGAAGAAAGGUUACCGUUCGUUAGUCUACAGUGGCGAUCACGACAUGCUUGUGCCAUUCGUGGGAACUCGAGCAUGGAUAAAAUCUCUGAACUUCUCCAUUGUUGAUGAUUGGCGGCCAUGGCUCCUU
rnacentral:misc_RNA from 1 species